GGAUGUGAGGGCGAUCUGGCUGACAUCUGUUGAUUGAUCACCAGAGUUGAUUUGGCUGAUCUGGCUGGCUAGUUGGGUGUCCCCUUCCUCCCUCACCAUUCCUUGUGUGUCCCUCCUGAAGCUGUGUGCUCUGUCGAAGAGGACGACCAUCCCCAAUAGAGGAGGACCAUUCUUCAGUCAAGGGUGUAUGAGCAGCUGCACUUCCCUGCUAGACCCUCCAAACAAGCUCUCAGUGGUUUCUGGUUUACUGCUCAGUAGAAUUCCACUUUAAAAUACAACAGUUGUUAAACCAUUCACCUGUU
rnacentral:snRNA from 1 species